GCUUUCAUUUCUGAAUCAGCAGUCACAGAACACAAGUCUGUGUGCAGGAACUGCAGUUGGAAAACAUGGAAAAAAACAAUGACAUGCCCAAAACCUUCCCAGGAGCUGUUCAGAAGUAGCUGGGCAGUGUCCCUGUCCCCCCAGGCUCUGCAGCAGCGAUGUGAAGUGACUGGAUUUGAGAUCUGCUCCCCAGCCUGCCCAUGCAGGGGCUCCCAGGGUCUGCUUUAAAUUCAGGGCCUGUAAGCACAGGGCACAGAAGGAGGGCUCAGGACAGUAAAUUGGAGACAUUUUCUCAAAAAGAAACCUGAACCACUACAACAACAAACACAGCCAAAACUAAACAAGUCAACAGCAAAAUCCCCUUGUUUCCCUUAUCCUGUGCCCUUCCUUCAGGCAGGAAGGUGGUCCUGAAGGUGAGGGAUCACCUCCAGCAUGAAAAUAAGGUUUCUACAUCUCUAGAGGAGUUGAAUGUUGACAGCAGUAAGGCAUGAGAUGUUACAUGUUACCAUUGAGGUACAGGAUGGAGUUUGGAAGAUCAGUGAUGUCCCAAGAUGAAAACGGCCUUGAGAUGGACAAAAUUAGAACGACUUUAGGCAUUGGGCCUAAAAUUCAUUAAAUUUAAGACUAAUUAGUGGACUUACAUAUCACAAAGCUUAGUACACAUGCACAAACCUGUGAGGUUAUCCAAAGGACAACGAGGAAGAGGAGAAGCCUUCACCAAAAGACCCCCAAAAGAAGACUGGAGACCCCCUAAGAACAAGUGGGGGAUGUGCUGUGAAGAAAAUGAUGUAAAGUAAAAAAAAAAAUCGGAAAUAGGAGGAAACUUACCAGAAACAUUAAUGAAUAUGUAUAAACAUAUAGUAUAUAAGUUUAGCUUGAAGUGCUUUGUUUUGUACAUGAGGCAGGGUGAGAAGCCCUCCCCGUACCCCAGUCGGUUUUGCUUAUGCUUUAAUCAUCCUUAAUUACUGGCAAAUUACAUAUAUAAAUUGUAUUUUUUUUAUUAAAUUGUUAAAUUUAUUAAAUUAAA